GCGAGUUUAACUCUCUAAAACCAUUGUGAACGAACUGCUAAACGUUGCUUCGGCGGGACCUCCCGCCGAUAGAACGCAAACUCUGUAAUUAUUGUAUCUCUGAGUACACUUUUAAUAAGUUA
rnacentral:misc_RNA from 1 species